GGCGGCGUGCCUAACACAUGCAAGUCGAACGGAUUUGAGGGGCUUGCUCCUCAAGUUAGUGGCGCACGGGUGAGUAACGCGUAGAUAAUCUGCCUGAUGAUCCGGGAUAACACUUCGAAAGGGGUGCUAAUACCGGAUAAGCCCACGGGGUCUUUGGAUUCUGCGGGAAAAGGGGGGGACCUUCGGGCCUUCUGUCAUCAGAUGAGUCUGCGUACCAUUAGCUAGUUGGUAGGGUAAUGGCCUACCAAGGCUACSAUGGKUAGCUGGUUUGAGAGAAUGAUCASCCACACUGGAACUGAGACACGGKCCAGACUCCUACKGGAGGSAGCAGKGGGGAAUUUUGCGCARUGGGSGAAAGCCUGACGCAGCAACRCCGCGKGAGUGAUGAAGGCUUUCGGGUCGUAAAGCUCUGUCGAGGGGAAGGAAGUGUAUUGCGGSUAAUAUCCRSGAUCCUCGMCGGCGCCCCUCMWGAGAGCAGC
rnacentral:rRNA from 1 species